rnacentral:rRNA from 1 species
GGAAUUUUUCGCAAUGGGGGCAACCCUGACGAAGCAACGCCGCGUGGAGGAUGAAGGCCUUCGGGUUGUAAACUCCUGUCGACCGGGACGAAAGCAGUUCGGCCUACUACGUCGAGCUGUUGACUGUACCGGUGGAGGAAGCCACGGCUACCUCGGUGCCCGCAGCCGCGGUAAUACAGAGGUGGCAAGCGUUGUUCGGAAUUACUGGGCGUAAAGGGCGCGCAGGCGGCCCGUUAAGGCCCGUGUGAAAUCCCUCGGCUCAACUGAGGAACCGCACGGGAAACUGGCAGGCUUGAGUUCGGGAGAGGGAAGUGGAAUUCCGGGUGUAGCGGUGAAAUGCGUAGAUAUCCGGAGGAACACCGGUGGCGAAGGCGGCCUCCUGGACCGAUCACUGACGCUGAGGCGCGAAAGCUAGGGGAGCAAA